GUUAGCAACGCCCCCAACAAGACCGCACCACUAGCCCGACUCUGUGCUUGCGCAUCUCUGCACUCCCACCUAGCCGUCCGAAAGUCUUUCAAAGGUAGAAGAACCCAGCAGCCCCGCCCCCUUUCCCCGCAAGCACCAGUUCUUGCUGCAACGCUUGUCCAAUGCUUCCUAUUCGGGGCCUCGGGCUGAGCUCCUGAAUCACUACAGCCCAGCGAAGACAGAACAUUUUCAGAACAUGCAGUUUCCAGAUAACCACCUUGAUGGGGCCUAAGAUUGCCAAGACAUUUAAUACUUCAUGCAAAGGUGGCUAAUACUGUCUCAAGGGAAAAGAGCGAACUGGAUCUAACCAGGACAGAAAAAAAGGGGAUGGAAGGCCCAGAUACACAAGAGAAUAACAUUAGACUGUAGUUUAUAUAUAUUAUAUAUUUAUAUAUACACACCCCGUUUUGCAUUUGUAUUUCUGUGCACUCAUUAAAUGAUAAUAUGAAUGAAGUAGGAACAUUUAAGAAUUAAGUAAAUUAACACUUUAAAAAACUGCUAAAAACUCAUUACUUUAACAUGGCCUUCUCAUAACUUCAUUUUAAUUUAA